UGCCCAAGACUGCACAGGCUGACUCUUCUCGGUAGAGGCACAGUGGAGAAUUGAACUGCCAGUCCCUGACUCCUCAGCGAGAACUCUAACUCACUGAGCUAGCCAACCAUGCUUCUUAGGAAUCAGAAAGUGGAAAUACAAUUCUAGAGCUUCUUAGAGCAUCCAGCAAAUUAAGAAAAUGACCAUGUCUUAAGUGUUACGAACAUCAGCAUGUGCGAGUCCAGACGGUGUUCUUCUGUGCAUCUGUACUGUAGAAGUCAACUACACCGUGUUGUAACUUUCCCACUAUCACAGUUUAAAAAACAGAAGUGGCUACCCUCAA